GCUUUGGGAAUCUAUAGCUGGACCACGUGAGGUCAUGAGCAGAAAAGGCCAGUAAGCCCUAAACAGGCUGAACUUUGUAGCUGGAUGUCCUGGAGCGGGAGCUGAGGGCCCGGGAGCAGUACUGGCACCACCAGGAACAGGAGGAGGAGAUGCUACUGGAUCACCUGGGGCACCUGAGCCAGGAGCUCCACUUCACUGCAGGCAAUGGCAUGGAGCAGCAGGUGGUUCAUCGUCUCUCUGAUGAGUUUCGAGGGCUGAUGAGGGAGAGACAGAACUUCCUGGCUAGGGCCCUGGGUCAGCUACGGUACCGACGGGAAUGGAGCCGCCUCCAGAUCCUGCACACCCAGGUACUGAUCCCUGGACUGGAUUUGACAGAGGAAUCUGUAUUUCCGUCUUUGACAGGGGGCCUCAGAAAGAGACUCCCAAGGCAACCCUGUGGGACAGGUGGAGACCAAGCACGGAACUCAGUGCUGACUACUUCAUCCUAGACGACUGCCUCAGGAAGCCCUGUGUGUUUGGAGAAUUACCCUGGACACAUAUUCUAUGCAACAGUCACAACUUCUGUCAGGGACCGGGCCACUGCCUGUCCCGUGUUGAUCCCUUUCCUGAAGCAACUCACUGCAGCUCAAGGGCUGGAGGAUCAGAGGCCAGGAACAGGUCAGGCUGGUCCCUACUCCAGCGUUGCCUCCUGCUGCCAAUCCUGGCCAUGUUUCGUUUCUUUGGGCUAAAGAUCUGGAUGCAGCAUAGCUGGAUGCAUCUGGCCCAGGGUCUCCACAAGCUACAAGUAGGCCAGGACUGCAGUCAUCUCAAGGCUUGA
rnacentral:lncRNA from 1 species